ACGCUCGACACCUACGGGAAGCAGCAGUGGGGAAUAUUGGGCAAUGGAGGCAACUCUGACCCAGCAACGCCGCGUGAAUGAUGAAGGUCUUCGGAUUGUAAAGUUCUGUGACGGGGGACGAACACAAUGACGGUACCCCGAUAGCAAGCCACGGCUAACUACGUGCUAGCAGCCGCGGUAAUCUGAGCGGGCUGGCAAGGC
rnacentral:rRNA from 1 species